rnacentral:lncRNA from 1 species
GCGGCAAACAGAGUGACAGGAGAUCAUAACAAAGGCGGUCCAAGUCCAGGAUGAGAGACUUGAAUAAGAUCAGAUGUUAUCGAUAUGAUGAGUUGGGGCAUCUAGCCAGAGAUUGCCCUCAAUUCAGAGAUCGAACGAGGGCUACUGCAGCGACAGCUAGUAGUGAGUUAGAGGAUAAUGUUCUAGAGAUAUCUGACAAGGUAUCUACUUCUUUCU